AGUCUGGAAAGGAAGGCUGGGUGCAGCAAAUGAAGAGGGCACGCGGGUUUCUGGGUGUUGACAAGGUUCUAGCUGAGUGGCACAUCAAAAGCCGAACCUUUUGGGGUUACACAGUCUGAGGGUUGGCAAGAGAAAGGGAACAGGUCAGAAGAGAAAGGUGAAGAGGAGAGCGCCCUAAUGGAGAAGAGCUCCGUGCGGAUGGCAAAGUGUGGACCGCCGGCGCGGCGCGCGCAGCGCUUCCCAAAUACAAGAGGAGACAAAUUAACUCCCUGGCCAUAGGAUGAGAGAGCAGUGCAGGCUAGAGAUGGCAAGGGAGAUGUCUUCAGUGUCGUCCUUCAUCACUGUGAACAACCAGUGCUGCAGAGUUCAGACAGGUCAGACCGUCGGUCUGUGCCCUGUAAGAAAGGUGGUGAAUGGCCAAGGCCUUACCCGGAACUGUGAGCACGGGUAUGAGAAGAGGUGCACUUUGCCGAAGUCAUCGCCUGUGCACAAGAGCUUUCUCUCGUGAGCCCGGCAGACGGCGUUGAUGUCUGUCCCAUCGGAGCCCUCCGGCCACACUCCUGGAACAGAGCACAGACAGCACUGGAAACUUCAGAGCCACAGCACACAAACGCUGGUCACCAAAGGGGCCAGAAAUCCACCUUCAGUCUGGGCUUUAGAAUGGAGAGCUGGGCGGGCGACCACUCGUUUCCAGCUCCUGCCUCUCUCUAGCUCUGGGUUGCAGGGCACCCAGGGUCAGCCCUGAGAAGCCCUGCGUCUCUUCUAACAGCUGUGCUAAGUCACACAGCCCCGGCAGUGUCCUGAGCUGCCUGCAUCCACUGGGCCCUUCUGGGUGCAGCGGCAGGUACCACGGCCCUGCUUAUAAACUGAUGCCUUUCCACUGUAAGUCCUGUAAGUGCAGGGUACCUGGAGAAUAGGGCCACUGUGUCCUGGGAGAGGCUUUUGGUUGAGAGCGUUGUAUAUUAAAGGGCCGAGUACACACCAGCUCCUUAGUAGGCAGAACACCAGGAAAUAGGGAAACGCCACACUGAGAGGACUUAGGAAUUCCUACCAGCCGACUGACUCCCAAUUGCUCCGACUGUAGCAACGCAUUGUGAGCUAUUUAUGAAUGUAUUCCUAAGAUGAGCUUUGAAAGAAGUGAACGUUUUAGGCGGUAGGUAAGUAAGCCAAGUGUCCUGUGGUUCAUGUGGGUACAACAUCAUCCACACAACCACUAGGGGGGGCUGUCCUGUGCCUCGGGAAGAGUUAAUUACCCCCUCAGCCUGAGCCUGGGAGCUGAGGAGAUUGUGUAUCAUGGCCCCAGGCGGGAACAGAACAGAUGGACAAGACUGAAAGUGGUGGGACCAGGGUUCGAGUCCCGGCACCUCCGUGGCAGCUCACAACUAUGAGUAACUCUAGUGCCAGUGGGGAUCUGAUGCCCUCUUUGGUUUCCACAGGCACUGCACGUUCACAAAAGCAAAAUGUUCAUACCAAUAAACAAUUAAAAAUAAACCCUU
rnacentral:lncRNA from 1 species